GCGCCCGUAGCUCAAACGGAUAGAGCACCGGCCUUCUAAGCCGGUGGUUGCAGGUUCGAAUCCUGCCGGGCGCGCCA
rnacentral:tRNA from 1 species